rnacentral:rRNA from 1 species
GAUGAACGCUAGCUACAGGCUUAACACAUGCAAGUCGAGGGGUAACGAGAGGAAAGCUUGCUUUCCUUGUCGACGACCGGCGCACGGGUGAGUAACGCGUAUCCAACCUGCCCCCAACUAGGGAAUAACCCUGCGAAAGUAAGACUAAUACCCUAUAAUUUCCUCAGAUGACAUCUGACGAGGAAUAAAGAUUUAUCGGUUGUGGAUGGGGAUGCGUCUGAUUAGCUCGUUGGCGGGGUAACGGCCCACCAAGGCAACGAUCAGCAGGGGUUCUGAGAGGAAGGUCCCCCACAUUGGAACUGAGACACGGUCCAAACUCCUACGGGAGGCAGCAGUGAGGAAUAUUGGUCAACGGGCGGAAGCCUGAACCAGCCAAGUAGCGUGCAGGAUGACGGCCCUAUGGGUUGUAAACUGCUUUUAUACAGGAAUAAAGUUAGCCACGUGUGGUUAUUUGUAGGUACUGUAUGAAUAAGGACCGGCUAAUUCCGUGCCAGCCGCCGCGGUAA